AUUGAACGCUGGCGGCAUGCUUUACACAUGCAAGUCGAACGGUAACAGGCCGCAAGGUGCUGACGAGUGGCGAACGGGUGAGUAAUGCAUCGGAACGUGCCCAGUCGUGGGGGAUAACUACUCGAAAGAGUAGCUAAUACCGCAUACGAUCUAUGGAUGAAAGCGGGGGACCGUAAGGCCUCGCGCGAUUGGAGCGGCCGAUGUCAGAUUAGGUAGUUGGUGGGGUAAAGGCUCACCAAGCCAACGAUCUGUAGCUGGUCUGAGAGGACAACCAGCCACAAUGGGAAUGGGACACGGCCCAGACUACUACGGGAGGCAGCAGUGGGGAAUUUUGGACAAUGGGCGCAAGCCUGAUCCAGCAAUGCCGCGUGCAGGAAGAAGGCCUUCGGGUUGUAAACUGCUUUUGUACGGAACGAAACGGCUCUGGUUAAUACCCGGGGCUAAUGACGGUACCGUAAGAAUAAGCACCGGCUAACUACGUG
rnacentral:rRNA from 1 species